UAAAGUUUCUGUUCGCUUGCAG
rnacentral:miRNA from 1 species